rnacentral:lncRNA from 1 species
AAGUGCCCCCCCAUAGUAAGGAUCAAUUCUCUGGUACUAGCUGCUGAUAAGCUGUACUAGCCAUCAUUACUGCCUAGAUCCAUCAUCCUACUGGACACGGCAACCUGUCCACCAUUGUAGGUAUGGCACAAAGGACCUAGUUUGUGAUUCAAGGCUACCUGUGCACCAGACUUGUGAAAGUGUUGCCGUGUGUGGGGUGUGUAGGAGGAUGGCGGUGGUUGUGUGUGUCACAUAGAGAGCCAUCACCUCCAUUUCCCUACACUGUGCUCACUGAUAUAUCAGUCCUUUGACCUCUCAGUAGCAUUCCUUGUGCAUCACUGCUGUUGACACUUUUUCAGAUGACCCUUUUUUCAGGUUACAAUAUUGCUGUUCCAGACUGCAGUAGAUCCUAGCUAUACUAUUGUAGUCCUUAAGUGGCCCAAUUCCGCCACGCGACCAGCACGCUGGCUUCAUACAAGAGGUUCAUAGCAUAGAAGUUAACUAGUGAGAUCAAAAUAAACACACAAACUCAAUUUACCUUUUUCUUUGACCAGGUCUGAGACUGCCCUCCCUCUGGCUCCUGCCUUGAGCCACCCGGUGGGGCAGCGAGGCUUACUCAGGACUAGCAGGAGAGAGAGAGAGCACGCCAGGGAGUGGCCUUUUAUUGGGGAACAAGAAAUUCAGGGGAAAAUUCCAUCCAAUGAAGGUCGAGGGGGACAGCAUUCCAAGGUCAGGGUCAGUGAUUGGUCUCAGGGUCAAUGGUCAGUCACACCCCCACACGGAAGGGCUCUCGCACCUAGAGAGGGUGGGGAUUAG